rnacentral:sRNA from 1 species
AUGUACCACUCAUACACGCCGGUUCUGAGCGCGCCGUCCACGCCCACCUGACGACCUCUCACUACGUUGUGUUAGCC